GGGAGCUUGCUCCCUGAGAUUAGCGGCGGACGGGUGAGUAACACGUGGGCAACCUGCCUAUAAGACUGGGAUAACUUCGGGAAACCGGAGCUAAUACCGGAUACGUUCUUUUCUCGCAUGAGAGAAGAUGGAAAGACGGUUUACGCUGUCACUUAUAGAUGGGCCCGCGGCGCAUUAGCUAGUUGGUGAGGUAAUGGCUCACCAAGGCGACGAUGCGUAGCCGACCUGAGAGGGUGAUCGGCCACACUGGGACUGAGACACGGCCCAGACUCCUACGGGAGGCAGCAGUAGGGAAUCUUCCGCAAUGGACGAAAGUCUGACGGAGCAACGCCGCGUGAACGAAGAAGGCCUUCGGGUCGUAAAGUUCUGUUGUUAGGGAAGAACAAGUACCAGAGUAACUGCUGGUACCUUGACGGUACCUAACCAGAAAGCCACGGCUAACUACGUGCCAGCAGCCGCGGUAAUACGUAGGUGGCAAGCGUUGUCCGGAAUUAUUGGGCGUAAAGCGCGCGCAGGUGGUUCCUUAAGUCUGAUGUGAAAGCCCACGGCUCAACCGUGGAGGGUCAUUGGAAACUGGGGAACUUGAGUGCAGAAGAGGAAAGUGGAAUUCCAAGUGUAGCGGUGAAAUGCGUAGAGAUUUGGAGGAACACCAGUGGCGAAGGCGACUUUCUGGUCUGUAACUGACACUGAGGCGCGAAAGCGU
rnacentral:rRNA from 1 species